rnacentral:lncRNA from 1 species
AAAUGUUCCUACUAGGUAUUUAGUUUUAAAAACAUCAUUAUUUAAAUCCUUAAUUCAUUUUAAGGACAUAAUUCAAUAAAGUUUUCAGGAGUUAUAUCAAAUGUAAACCUACGAAUUUGGUAGAAGUUUAAGUACUUUGUUAAAUCAGGAUUCAAAAGAGAGGUUAAGUUCUUUCUAGUAUAGCAUAGUGUUCACUUCCAGUGAAACAUUUUUAUAGUUUGUUGUACUAUUGGAGAUGUGUGCUUUUCAAGCAAUAAACUGCCAAAUCCUUGCUUUUAUCUCCUGCAGACACCUGACUCCCUAUUGAAAACUGUUGGCCAUGAAUUCUGUGCUGGUGCGAGCGUUAAAGAUAGAGUGUAACAGCAUUCUCCCCACCUUUCAACAUGUUCCAUGUACCAGGAGGCCGACAUUACCAUGUCUCAGGAUGAUCUCUCCGGAGCUGUAUAUUUACCCUUAUGAAAGACCAAGAUUCUCUCACCUAUUUUCUCUGAAAUCAAUAAGAAGACACACAGCCCCGUUUAUACAAGAAGCAGCAAUUCCCAGAGAAAAUAGCGUUUAA